UACCGAGGUCUCAAGCGUUGUUCGGAAUCACUGGGCGUAAAGCGUGCGUAGGCUGUUUCGUAAGUCGUGUGUGAAAGGCGCGGGCUCAACCCGCGGACGGCACAUGAUACUGCGAGACUAGAGUAAUGGAGGGGGAACCGGAAUUCUCGGUGUAGCAGUGAAAUGCGUAGAUAUCGAGAGGAACACUUGUGGCGAAGGCGGGUUCCUGGACAUUAACUGACGCUGAGGCACGAAGGCCAGGGGAGCGAAAGGG
rnacentral:rRNA from 1 species